rnacentral:rRNA from 1 species
AACAAACGCUGGCGGCGUGCCUAAUACAUGCAAGUCGAACGAGGAAAGCUUUCGGGUGAGUACUAGUGGCGCACGGGUGAGGAAUACAUGGGUAAUCUGCCCUCGAGUUGGGGAUAACCAGUCGAAAGAUUGGCUAAUACCGAAUAAGACAACAGGAUCUGCGGACCUAGGGGUUAAAGGUUUUUCGCUUGAGGAUGAGCCCAUGCGGGAUUAGCUAGUUGGUGAGGUAAUGGCUCACCAAGGCUACGAUCCCUAACUGGUCUUAGAGGAUGAUCAGUCACACUGGAACUGAGACACGGUCCAGACUCCUACGGGAGGCAGCAGUAGGGAAUAUUGCACAAUGGGGGAAACCCUGAUGCAGCGACGCCGCGUGAGUGAUGAAGGCCUUCGGGUCGUAAAGCUCUGUCGUAUGGGACUAACACAAUGAAGGUACCAUGCAAGAAAGGAUCGGCUAACUUCGUGCCAGCCGCCGCAGUAA